UUCACCCCAAGAUUUCUCUUCACUGUUGUUAGUGAACUGUUGAUUCUAACAAAUUGCUCUUAUUGACUGCAGUAGAUAAUCAACAAGUGACUAGGAUGCCUUGAAUCUUCUACCAGAAGCAAACCAUAAGAGGAAAAGAACAAGUGGGUAGCAGAUACCUGAGGAAAAUGGACGUGGACCCUUCCAGAGAGGAAAGUCUGACCUGAUGACACCUGGGUCUCAUACUAUCAAAUCAAAGGGCUUUAUGGUCUUCUAGGCAUUUUGUGGUGAAACAUGGAGCCGACCAACACAAGCGCCCCAUUGAAUGCUACAAACUUAGACCUCGGCCACUGCAACGCACACUGCAGGAUGAUUCUGACCACACUCUACAGUGUGGUUUUUCUUGGAGGCACUGCUGGAGCAGUUAUGAUGUCACGCAUGAUGUUGAAAAGGAAUAGCCAGUCAAUGAUUGCCACAAUCGUUCUCAAUAUCAUAGUGCUACAUUCGAUCCUCCUGGUCAGCCUUCCGUUCCGCCUUAGCUAUUACGUCUUAGUCACCUGGGAGUUUGGAUACUUUACCUGCCGAUUGGUUAGUAGCAUAAUAUACUGUCAUAUGUACCUCACCUUUGUUUUCUAUGUGGCCAUUGUCAUAUUCCGAUUGCUCAUCUAUUUUAAGAAACUCCAACUGCAACAGUUAAAAAAGUACCAUGCGGUAGUUUUAAGCAUUAUUAUUUGGAUAGUGGGUAGCCUUAUUUUUUUGCCAAUAUUUCUUUUACUAUAUGGCACAAGUUCAAGUUACUCAGAACAGCAACGAUGCUUUGAGUUCUACAAAGACUUCAACCACAGGGAAUUCAUCAUCUUGAAUUACUCUAUGAUUGCUAUUAUGAUGACAGUGGUGGUGACCCUCUUUCUGAUACAGAUGGGUGUCAUUGUUCAACUCAUAAAGGUUCUUUGGCCUGACCUGUGGGCUCAUCAAGAGUAUAGAGCUCAAAUCAAGAGCUGCUUCUUCCUUCUAGUAAUAGUCGUCUGUUUUAUACCCCACCAUGCAUUCCGGGUACACUUUCUUCAGAAUUAUUCAGAGGGAGAAAAUUCUGAGUUAGUUCUUUAUAAUGAAAUUUUUGUGGCUUUAACUACUGUCUGUUGCCUGGAUAUGCUGUGUUUCAUAGGUGGAGUUAUCCAUUAAAUACUCCUAUUUCGUUUACUUUGUAAUUUGUUUCCCAUCACGGUGACAAAAUAGUUUUAAUUGAAUGGGUGCUGCUAGCACGAUUUCAAAAUUUUUCAAGUUCUCUGCUUUUAAUCAUCACCAAAAUUAUUUUUCUAUGAAAAAGGAAUAAAUGUUGGUUGUUUCCUUCUCCUCAGAGAACUGUUAUCUGUUUGCCCUUAACCAUAGAAUGUAUUCAAUCUCCUUAGCGCCACGCAAGUUGACCUCAAACAUCCCUUACAGACUCAACUCCUAUCUCUUUUGCCUGCAAUAUUUACUUCUGCUAAGCACACGUAUUGGCUUUCCCUAUGCACUCUCCAGGCUGUUCUACUCUUUGCAUUUGCUGCCACUGACCUUUGAUCUUAGAAUGUUCUUUCCCUCCAUCUCUAAGCUGUCUAUUCUUCAAGGUCCAGAGAACCUGAAGGUGGGAACUCUAUCGAAGCUUUAACUUACUCAACUUAUAAUCAACAUGAGAUAGCUACCUCUUGAAAACUACUGAUAGCUAGUCAUGCUGUAGCUGCUGGCUGUGGUAUCUGGAGGAAGAGAUUCACUCAGAUAGUCAAGAGACUUAGAGGAAACCCUUUCAGGUUGAUGGGGUGUUGAUGUGGUUUGAUUCUGAUUAAAGUGUUAGUAGGUACUCAGGAAGCUGAGAUGAUCUCCUACGUCUACCUUCCCAGACUUGGAUCCAUUAAGCAGAAAAAGAAAUUGGAAAAGGUGGAAGGCAGCUGGAGUUGGCUAAGCAUGCUGGCAGGCUGUAUUAGAGCCCAAACCUUUGAGACUGUGGGACUUUUAUUAAGCUUUUUCAAGACACCCAAUAUGAUCAAAUAGUGUCACAUAAUUAAAAUCAACACUAUCAUCUAAUGGGUGUCACCUAAACUCAAUAAAAGCAACCAUGACAACCAACCAAUCUGGUAUAGAAAUUGACAUGUACUUAAACCUUGCUUAUAAUAAUUCUACCUUGGAGACGAAAUUUGAUGAAUCAAAUAACCAAAACAUUGCUCUUACUGGUUCAUAAGGCAGCAGAGUUUAUGCAAAGGACUUUUGAAGUCAUCUGGAGAUCUGAAUUCAAAACUGUUUAGUAACUAUGGAAUCUUCGGUGAGGUAUUUAUAAUCUCUGAGCUCCAGUUUCCUAUAUUACAGGAUUUUGGUAAAGCUGAAAUAAGAUAACAGCCUCUGUUAAAUAGUGCCAUAAUGCCUGGCAUGUGGUGUUCAGAAUAAUAUUACUUCUUUUCCUAAUUCAGUGACACAUUUUGCAAGAAAAUUUUAACACAUCACCAAAAUGUUCAUCCAUAUAGAAGUAUAUUUUAGAGGUUCAGAUGCUAUUGAUCAAUGUUGAUCUCAUGCUUUAUGUCACUAUUAAAUCAAUGACUAAACGGAUGCUUUUUCCUAUUUUUGCCUAUAAGAACUUGCCAUUAUUAUUAUUACUAUAAUUAUUAGUUAUACCCCAAAAUACUCUAGUAGUACCAUUUUACAAUCCUGCCGUCACAGUACAAGAUGAUUUGUAAGCACUGUUUUAGGGUCCAUGGUAUGUCUUGAGUAGUAGUCACCUCAAGAUUGAUUGUGAUUACUUAUAGUCAGCAUAUAGUCAGUACCCAACUUACUAAUCAUAGGGUUCCAUGAGCUGGUUUUUAAUAUGGUAGACAGCCUCUAAGAAGGCCUCCAAAGAUCCCUGCCUCCUAAUAUCCAUGCCCCUGUGUAAUCUCUCCUAUAUUGGCUAUUGACUUCUUAAGAACAGAACAAGGCAGAAUGAUGGGGUAUCACCCCCAUUGUUAGAUUAUGAAAAGACUGUGCCAUCCGUAUUGGGUACUCUCUUUUUCUUGUUCUCUCUUGGAUUGCUUCACUCUGGAGUAAACCAGCAGCCGUGUCAUGAGGCAGCGCAUGUGGCAAAGAAUUUUGAGACCAUCUAACAGCCAUAUGAGUGAGCUUAGAAGUGGAUCUUCUGACACCAGCCAGUCGCCGUGGAAUAAGCUUGGAAGCAGUUCCAUUUGAGUCUUGAGAUGAUUGCAAUGCUGGCUGACCUUGACUGCAGCCUCAUGAGAGACCCUGAGCCAGAACCACUCGGCUAACCUGCUCCUAGAUUCCUGACCUGAAACUGUGCUCAUAGCACAUCCUAAUUCUGAGUAGCCACAUUUCAGUAGCCACACAUGGUUCAUGGUUAAAGUAUUGGACAGCACAGGUCCAAAUUACCCAGAGAUCGACUAGGGUUGUACCCCAGGACCCUUUCCUUACAAGAGAUGGCCAUGUAUCUCUCUGACAUUCAGUUUCCUCCUACGUGGAAUAGUAACAAUAGAACCUACUUUAGAGAGUUGAGAUGAAAAUACACGGUAUUGUAUAAGGUGCAAAUAUCAGUCCCCAGCAUGUGGCAAAUGUUCGGUAAAUGGAAUGUUAUUAUUUUUACUGUCCUUGUUGUAUAUAUUGGAAAGAGAAGGACAAGGACAGACAACUCUGUAAUCAGAUGCCCUGCAAUGUUUCUGGGACGCUUUAGCUUGGACAUUCUCAACAGAGACCCAUUCUUCCUUCCUGCUGACACCCUCCUUCUUGUCUCUCCAACCCACAGCCAUCCCUGAUCUCAGCUGGCAGUGGGCUUCUGUGUUACCAGUGCUUAUCUGACUUAAAUGGUCCUUCCUUGGGGAAGUGCUCAGAUCCUGUGUCCCAGAGGACUCCUUCCUUUAAUCUUAUUUGACCCAAUCUGUGUUACUUCACCACGAGGUGUUCUCACCUAAGUGUGUAGUUGGUUUCCAGGUAUCCAUACAAAUUACUCAAAAUAAAACAAAUACAUUAAACAUGUGUGUGAUGGUUAAUUUUGUGUGUCAACUUCACUGGCUGUGAGUGCCCAAGUUGAACAUUAUUUCUUGGGUGUGUUUGUGAGAGUAUGUCCAGAUGAGACUAGCAUUUCAAUCAGUGGACUCGGUAAAGUAGAUUGCCCUCCUCACUGUGGGUGGGCCUCAUCCAGUCUGUUGCAGGCCUGGAUAGAACCAAAGGUAGAAGGAGGAAUUCACCCCCUUUUUUCCCCGCCUCACUGACCGAUCCGGGACAUCGCAUCUCAUUUCCUGCUCUCAGACUGAAACUUAGACCUUGCUCUCCUGGUUCUCGGGCCUUCGGAUGUGGGCUGAAUUAGCCACUGGUUUUCCUGCGUCUCCAGCUUGCAGAGCAGGCGAUGGGACUCAGCCUUCACAAUUCCUCAUAAUCAGUCAGUCAGUCAAUCAAUCUCUCGCUCGCUCUCCCUCUCUCUCUUCCUUUGUCCUUUCAGGCCUGGAUGUGCUGUGUGCUACUCUCUGCUUCCAUCAGUGUCCCUUGCUCUAUUUGGGUCAUUUAUGUUCUUAUAAUUUUUAUUUUAAUAAUCUUGCUCAAACAUCGAUGGUUAUUUCUUUAGAAUUAAUACACCUUAUUAUAUAAGUAAUACUUGACUAUUUUCAGUGCCAGUAUCCAAAUAUUGCAGAUACAACUAACGGCUUAUUGCAUCCAGUCCUUGUCCCCCCUCUAGAUAAAAACUGCUGUUAUCUGAUAAGUCUGUAUUUCGAGGCCUUUAUAUAUAUUUAAAUGCAUGUAACAUUUAUAUUUUUAUAGUAAUUGUAUUUUAAAAAUGCCUGGCACAUGGAAAGCAGGUUGUGUUUUUCACAGAGUUUUUGUUUCAUUGACGUUUUUAAAAUUAACGGCAUAAAGUUGCUGUAAUAUUCCAUUAUUGUCAUUUUAAUCGCUAUGAGUUUAGGCGUGAUAGCCCCUUUUCCAUUUGUGACACUGGUAAUUCGUGUUUACUCUAUUUUUCUCCAUCAGUUUAGCUAUGAGUUUAUCAAUUUUAUUGAUCUUUAUAAAAACCCAACUUUUGAUUUUGUCAAUUUUCCUUAUCUUCUAUUUAAUUGAUUUUUAUUCUAACCUUUAUUAUUUUCUUUCCUCAAUUUACUUUGUUAUUUCUUUUAGCUCUUAAGUUAUAACUUAGAUCGUUAUUUUAAAACCUGUCUCAUCUUUACUUAAAUAAUAUAAGUAUUUAAAGUUAUAAUUUCCAUCUAAGCGCUGAAUUAGCAACAUCCAACAAAUUUUGGUACUUUGUGUUUUAAUUAUCAUUCAGCUGGAAAUAUUUUCUAAUUUCCUUUUUCAUUUCUUAUUUGACUAAUGGGUUAUUUGGUAGUUAUUAAUAUCCGUUAAAUGGAGUGUUAUUAUUUUUAGCAUCCUUGCUGUAUAUAUUGGGAAGAGAAGGACAAUGGCAGACAAUUGUGUAAUCAGAUGGCCUGCAAUGUUGUCUGUUAGAAGCAUGUUGCUUGACUUUCAGGUAUUUAAGACUUUACCAAAUAUUGUAUUAUUAUGCUUAUUUCUAUUGUUAUCGGAAAUGUGCUAAAUAUGCUAAAGCUUCCAAUUUUUGAAAUUUAUUGUGAUUUUUAAAAAUUCCCUGGGGGCUGGCCCAGUGG